CGAGAUAACCUGAGUUUCCUGGAAAAUUCCAGAAGGACUAUACCAAAUAAUACAAAAACACAUUCACAUUAUCCCAAGAGAUAGACUUCGUGAAAUAAAAGUGUACUCGUUUUUCUUUAACAUCAUUAAAAUAUUAAUUUAAAUUUCAGUUCUUCUCUACUCAUUGUUAAAAGCUGACACAAGUAUACUGGAUGAACUGUAUUUCAGCUCUAUUCUUACAAAAUAAGAGGCACAGGGAAAUCAAAGUAAAGAGGACUCUGUUUUUCUGCUUGUGCCUGUUUCAGCAAAGUCAGCAUGUAAAACAGUUGUCUGGAAAAUCCAGUCCUGAGACCAGGAAGGUAUCUCUCUAUGAGUCUAGUUUAGUAUCAAGACAGGCCCUACGAGCAGAAAAUAAGUUAAACAUCCAAAAAAAAAUACAAGUCAAUUUGCCAUCUUUUUACCAGUUGAUAUUUUUUAUGACAUUCACAAUUUAAACCAGUCUCUGUAAGUCAACAUCUACUCAAGGUAGAAUCUAAAAUCUUAAGUGUCAGCGCUCAGAGCUAGUUGAGUUCUUCUCAACACAGAAAGUGAAUUCCCUACUCCUCGGUUCUCCCUUCCCAAAAUGGGCCACUUAAUUGCGUCCUUCGGAGACAUCACAGUGCAAGCAACUCCCCAAAGAAAAAAAUGCCCAACGGCUUGAAAAGAGAAAGAAUUUCACACUUGUAGCCCAGCAUAACCACCCACCCUUGAGUGUCAGUAAAGGAAGAAGCCAAAAAUGGCUCUUUAACAGACAUCCCCAGGGAGGGUGAGGUUGUGUCUGCAGCCACAAAUGUUGCUUCCUUUGGUCUAAGUCAGUAAUAUUCAGAUCACAGCUCUCCAGCUGCAAGCAGAUCUGUUCAGAUGCAAACUGUGGCUGGUGAAGCCCCCGCUCCCUUUCUCUUCUGAAAUAUGUUUCACCUCUUUUUCCAGGGCAGGACCAAAUGACGCUGUCAUUCAAUGAUAAUUAUACAUAUGACUCCUGGCACAUUUAACUGUAAGAGUCAUUGCUGUGAGAUGAGCUUUAGCUACUCUAAUAUAAGAAUGACUCUCACUCUCAUCUUCUUCGGGCCUCUUAGCAAACCAGAACCUAAGCUAGUUAUUGAACCAUCAGUCAUGAUGGGGUGAGGGAAUAAAAUGUCUUACUCCCUUCCUAACCUGUCCAUACCAACUUCCCCAGAGAAUGAGAUUUUUAAGAAGGGAAUACUCUCACACGAGCUACUAUAGACCAGGUAGCUCAGGACUUUCUGGUCAUCUGCAUUCACACUGUCCCAGCUGAGAUUCAGAGCAGUUAAGUAACAUAUCAGAGGUCAUUCAGCAAUAAAUACCAAAGCCAUGACUUCAACCCGGUUCUGUUGUGCUCCAAAGUGCAUGACCUUUACACCAUGUCGUGCUGCCUGACGUUUUGCUUAAGGUUCUCAGGGUCUAUGGCAGUUAAGGUAACAUGAACUACUAUAACAAAAAGCCCAAAACUAUGUAACAGCUCAAACAGAUAGAAGUUUGUUUCUUGUACACGUGAAGUCUGAAAUGAAUAUUCCUAAUAGGAAGCCUCUUAAGUAGUGAUUUGGGACCCAGGCUCGUCUUUCCACCCAGUAGCUCUGCCGUGUCAAAUCAGGGCUUUCAUGGCGGUCGUACCCAUCUACAUCAAGAAGUUGGGAGGGGAAGAGCAUGGAGGGCCACUCGCAGAUCGUUCCUUCAUGGAAACCACACACAUCAUUUCUGCUCACAUCCCUUUAUCUAGAAGUCAAUCUCACGGGCUCUGUCUUUUGAGAAAUGUACUUCAUCCAUGUGCCUGAGAAAAAGAGGAACAUGGUUUGGUGAAAAGCAAAUCAAUCAUGGUCACAGAAGCUAAAGAAUUCAGUAUUUGACAAAAAUUAGCUGGGCAUGAUGGCACACACCUGCAGUCCCAGCUACUUGGGAGGCUGAGGCAGGAGAAUCACUUGAACCUCGGAGGUGGAGGUUGCAGUGAGCCGAGAUUGUGCCACUGCACUCCAGCCUGGGCGACAGAGUGAGACUGCAUCUCAAAGAAAAAAAAAAA
rnacentral:lncRNA from 1 species